rnacentral:rRNA from 1 species
CCUACGGGGGGCAGCAGUGGGGAAUAUUGGACAAUGGGGGCAACCCUGAUCCAGCCAUGCCGCGUGUGUGAAGAAGGCCCUCGGGUUGUAAAGCACUUUCAGUGAGGAAGAACGCCUGGUGGUUAAUACCCAUCAGGAAAGACAUCACUCACAGAAGAAGCACCGGCUAACUCCGUGCCAGCAGCCGCGGUAAUACGGAGGGUGCGAGCGUUAAUCGGAAUUACUGGGCGUAAAGCGCGCGUAGGUGGCUUGAUAAGCCGGUUGUGAGAGCCCCGGGCUCAACCUGGGAACGGCAUCCGGAACUGUCAAGCUAGAGUGCAGGAGAGGAAGGUAGAAUUCCCGGUGUAGCGGUGAAAUGCGUAGAGAUCGGGAGGAAUACCAGUGGCGAAGGCGGCCUUCUGGACUGACACUGACACUGAGGUGCGAAAGCGUGGGUAGCAAACAGGAUUAGAUACCCCGGUAGUC